rnacentral:lncRNA from 1 species
AUAUAUAUAUAUACAAAAGAGGGACUUAGAAAAGUGAUGUGACAUCUCUCUAAAGCCAAGGAUCAUAUUUAUCUUUUUUCUCCUUUUUUUUUGUUUUUUCUUACUCAUUUUUCAUUUAUUCUAUUAAUUAAAUUAUUAAUAGAAAGUCCAAAAGUCAUGUUCUAACGUAUUAUUUUGGUUUCUCUUCGCCAUAAAUCAUUUUGUUUCCAAACCGUUGCGAAAGUAACUCAUUGUCUCUAUUAUUUCUUCUGUUGCUUAUGAUUAACCAUUAUUAAUAUAUGGUAAUGUUGUACCGUUUGAAUUCUGGCAACAAACUCAUACACACACUCUAACUGCUCCCUCUUUCUAUCUAUUAUGAGCCAAGAGGGCAACGAUGCAAUUGAAUUUUUUGGGAGGCUGACAAACAUUUUCAGAGUUGUUAAAAACUCAAGUGAUGUGGAUCUGUUUCUUAGUAAUUCUCAACAUUUUGUUAAGCCGUUUCAGAAGAGAAGUUGUUCCACAUGUUGCUAUAGUGUUUAUCUUGUGAAUACCAGAUAGUUUUGCUGCUUUGUUUUAAAUAAUUCUUAAUAUGUCCCCUUGCUUCUGAGAACACGUAAGUUAUUCGGUUUUCCUUGUAACAGAUUAUACAUUUAAUCUAGCUCUUAUUUCAUUGAUGAUCUACCUUCAUUUUGUCUUUCACUGACUGUAUUUCACAUUUUAAUAAACUUUUCUUUAAUUUCUUGGUUUACUAAUUAACUUCACUAAACUUUUCAAAUGUGGUCGGGGUUCCUUUUUUCAGGGAUAUAAGCCAGCAGUGGAAAGUGGAAGAAUGACUUUGCAGUAUAUAUGUGAACUUGGAUGGAGGGAAGGUUUCUGAGAAUUGAUGUAAAGAUUAAUAUGUUGUUAUCUGUAGUCUCAUUCUUUCUGGAGGAAACAUCCGAUAUACAAGGACGCGCGUUUUAGUGAUUGAUAUAUCAAAAUCUUUCAAUGAAUAAAUUGAGAUUAUGAGAUCUUACCAACUUCUGCAGAAAGCUAUGCAUUUGGUGUUACUGUUUUUGAUGGGAAGAGAUAGCAAGUCAUAAUUUAAAAGUUCUCUUUACCAUUUUUAUUAGCAUAGAUAAACUCGAUAUGUUUACUUUAAUG